rnacentral:rRNA from 1 species
ACCUGCGGAAGGAUCAUUGUCGUGACCCUAACCAAAAUAGACUGUGAACAUGUCAUCAAUUCCACCGGGUGAUGGCCAUAGUGUCGUCUCCUGGCAUGGGCCUCUAUCCUUCUUAUGACGGGUGUGGUCCACAAAAGAACCCACGACGUCGGAUGACGUCAAGGAACACCUUUAUUUAUUGCUUGCACAAUGGUGUGAACUUCUUUGUUUGAUACACCUUGUGCUGUGAUGCUACCUUAAUCCACAAGACUCUCGGCAACGGAUAUCUUGGCUCUCACAUCGAUGAAGAACGUAGCAAAAUGCGAUACCUGGUGUGAAUUGCAGAAUCCCGUGAACCAUCGAGUUUUUGAACGCAAGUUGCGCCUGAGGCCACUUGGUCGAGGGCACGUCUGCCUGGGCGUCACGCGAAAAGACACUCCCCCACCCUUCAUGGAGCGGGAUGUGGUGUUUGGCCUUCCGUGUCAUGUGAAUGGUUCGGUGGACUAAAGUGUAGGCUGCUAGCUAUGGGGCUGGUCAUAGCACUUGGUGGAUGACAAAUGUUGUUCUCGGAGUUGUGACAUGUAUUGCUUCUAGCGAUAGUAUGGCUGUUAUGACCCAUGCAUCGGAGCUUUGAUUGCUUCAACCAUGACCCCAGGUCAGUCGGGACUACCCGCUGAAUUU